CCUAUCCAUGGCCAGGAUGAAGCGGAAGUAAAAUUCCGUGGAGGUCCGAACCACGUUGGUGUUGAAAAACCAUGGGAUGAGCUGUGGAUAGCGGAGAAAUUCCAAUCGAACUCGGAGAUAGCUGGUUCUCCUCGAAAUAGCUUUAGGGCUAGCGUCGGGUAAUUGAGUAGUGGAGGUAGAGCACUGAAUGGGCUAGGGGCUGACAACAGUUACUGAACCCUAUCAAACUCCGAAUGCCAUAUACUUGUACCCCGGCAGUCAGACUACGAAUGAUAAGAUCCGUGGUCAAAAGGGAAACAGCCCAGACCAUCAGCUAAGGUCCCAAAGUGUAAGUUAAGUGGGAAAGGAUGUGGGAUUUCUAAGACAACUAGGAUGUUGGCUUAGAAGCAGCCACUCAUUUAAAGAGUGCGUAAUAGCUCACUAGUCGAGAGAUCCUGCGCCGAAGAUGUAACGGGGCUCAAACUUACCACCGAAGCUAUGGAUGUGUACUAUGUACACGUGGUAGAGGAGCUUUCUGUACAGGUUGAAGUCAUACCGUAAGGAGUGGUGGACAGUACAGAAGUGAGAAUGCUGGCAUAAGUAGCGAAAAACAAGUGAGAAUCUUGUUGACCGAAUAUCUAAGGUUUCCUGGGGAAGGCUCGUCCUCCCAGGGUUAGUCGGGACCUAAGCCGAGGCCGAAAGGCGUAGGUGAUGGACAACUGGUUGAUAUUCCAGUACCACCAUAAUGCGUUUGACAAAUGGGAUGACGCAGGAGGAUAGGAUGUGCGCACUAUUGGAUGUGCGUCUAAGCACUUAGGGUGUUAAGUAGGCAAAUCCGCUUAACAUUAAGCCUGAGGUGUGAUGGGGAGCCUAUUUUGGCGAAGUAUCUGAUUCCACGCUGCCAAGAAAAGUCUCUAUGGAGCAAAAUGGUGCCCGUACCGCAAACCGACACAGGUAGAUGAGGAGAGAAUCCUAAGGUCGUCGGAAGAAUUAUUGCUAAGGAACUCGGCAAAUUGACCCCGUAACUUAGGGAGAAGGGGUGCCUACGAGAGUAGGCCGCAGUGAAUAGGCUCAAGCAACUGUUUAUCAAAAACACAGGUCUCUGCUAAAGCGUAAGCUGAUGUAUAGGGGCUGACGCCUGCCCGGUGCUGGAAGGUUAAGGGGAAUAGUUAGCGCAAGCGAAGCUAUGAACUUAAGCCCCAGUAAACGGCGGCCGUAACUAUAACGGUCCUAAGGUAGCGAAAUUCCUUGUCGGGUAAGUUCCGACCCGCACGAAUGGCGUAAUGAUUUGAGCACUGUCUCGGCAAUAAAUCCGGUGAAAUUGUAGUGCAAGUGAAGAUGCUUGCUACCCGCGGUUGGACGGAAAGACCCCGUAGAGCUUUACUGUAGCUUAGCAUUGAAUUUCGGUAUUGUCUGUACAGGAUAGGUGGGAGACUUAGAAGCGAGGGCGUCAGCUUUCGUGGAGUCGUCCUUGGGAUACCACCCUGACAGUACUGGAAUUCUAACUGGAGGCCAUGAAUCUGGUCACAGGACAUUGCUAGGUGGGCAGUUUGACUGGGGCGGUCGCCUCCUAAAAGGUAACGGAGGCGCCCAAAGGUUCCCUCAGCGCGGUCGGAAAUCGCGCGUAGAGUGCAAAGGCAGAAGGGAGCCUGACUGCGACACAUACAGGUGGAGCAGGGACGAAAGUCGGGCUUAGUGAUCCGGUGGUUCUGUAUGGAAGGGCCAUCGCUCAACGGAUAAAAGCUACCUCGGGGAUAACAGGCUGAUCUCCCCCAAGAGUCCACAUCGACGGGGAGGUUUGGCACCUCGAUGUCGGCUCGUCGCAUCCUGGGGCUGUAGUCGGUCCCAAGGGUUGGGCUGUUCGCCCAUUAAAGCGGCACGCGAGCUGGGUUCAGAACGUCGUGAGACAGUUCGGUCCCUAUCCGCCGUGGGCGUAGGAAAUUUGAGAGGAGCUGUCCUUAGUACGAGAGGACCGGGAUGGACCAACCUCUGGUGCACCAGUUGUUCCGCCAGGAGCACAGCUGGGUAGCUAUGUUGGGAAGGGAUAAACGCUGAAAGCAUCUAAGCGUGAAGCCCACCUCAAGAUUAGAUUUCCCAUAGCGUAAGCUAGUAAGACCCCUGAAAGACUAUCAGGUUGAUAGGUUGGAGGUGUAAGUACAGUAAUGUAUUCAGCUGACCAAUACUAAUAGGUCGAGGGCUUGAUCAAAUU
rnacentral:rRNA from 1 species